rnacentral:rRNA from 1 species
AGAGUUUGAUUCUGGCUCAGGAUGAACGCUGGCGGCGUGCCUAACACAUGCAAGUCGAGCGGACCAAUGCCCAUUUCAGCUUUGCUGAUUUGAGCAACGGUUAGCGGCGGACGGGUGAGUAACGCGUGGGCAACCUGCCCUGUGCAGGGGGAUAACACAGCGAAAGCUGUGCUAAUACCCCAUAAGACUACGCUAUCGCAUGAUAGAGUAGUCAAAGCUUUAGCGGCACAGGAUGGGCCCGCGUCUGAUUAGCUAGUUGGUGGGGUAACGGCCUACCAAGGCGACGAUCAGUAGCCGACCUGAGAGGGUGAUCGGCCACACUGGAACUGAGACACGGUCCAGACUCCUACGGGAGGCAGCAGUGGGGAAUAUUGCACAAUGGGGGAAACCCUGAUGCAGCAACGCCGCGUGAGCGAAGAAGGCCUUCGGGUCGUAAAGCUCUGUCCUAAGGGAAGAAGUAUGACGGUACCUUAGGAGGAAGCCCCGGCUAACUACGUGCCAGCAGCCGCGGUAAUACGUAGGGGGCGAGCGUUAUCCGGAAUCACUGGGCGUAAAGGGUGCGUAGGCGGCCGAGUAAGCCAGAGGUGAAAGGCUACGGCUUAACCGUAGUAAGCCUUUGGAACUACUUGGCUUGAGUGCAGGAGAGGAGAGUGGAAUUCCUAGUGUAGCGGUGAAAUGCGUAGAUAUUAGGAGGAACACCAGUGGCGAAGGCGACUCUCUGGACUGUUACUGACGCUGAGGCACGAAAGCGUGGGGAGCAAACAGGAUUAGAU